rnacentral:lncRNA from 1 species
AAAACAAUAAGCAUAGGGUCACUGCGUGAAAUUUGUAGACCAUGUAAAUAGAGUUGUUCACUCCUUUUUAAUAAUGUUACAUGCGAGGAGAAAAUGUGAAGUAAGAGUAACAACAUUCUUCUAUCCCUCUGAAAUAGUUGCAAUUUUUCAAUCGAAAUCUGAAAUUACGCUAUUUUUAGGUGAACCAAGCAGGUCAACAACAUCUAAUUGGGGCGGAGGAAGGCAUCAGCGAGCAUCUGUCCAAGCUGAAUUUGUGCAGCAGUAGUAAGGUGCGUAUAAUCUGGCCCG